rnacentral:rRNA from 1 species
UACGAAGGGGGCUAGCGUUGUUCGGAAUCACUGGGCGUAAAGGGCGCGUAGGCGGCUUGAUAAGUCGGGGGUGAAAGCCUGUGGCUCAACCACAGAAUUGCCUUCGAUACUGUCGAGCUUGAGACCGGAAGAGGUAAGUGGAACUGCGAGUGUAGAGGUGAAAUUCGUAGAUAUUCGCAAGAACACCAGUGGCGAAGGCGGACUUACUGGUCCGGUUCUGACGCUGAGGCGCGAAAGCGUGGGGAGCAAACAGG